GCCUUCUGGCAGUUUCUGGGAGCUGCGAACGCGCCGCCCCGGGGCUCGGCGGCCGGAAACGCUGGCUUCGGAGCCUUAGGCGCCGCGGCCUUUCCUUGUUUUCCGCCCAGUCCACGCCGCCAUGGCCAAGUGGGGCCAGGGGAACCCCCACUGGAUCGUGGAGGAGCGGGAGGACGGGACCAACGUGAACAACUGGCGCUGGCGCGGCUGGCGGCGGCCUCCUUCCGGGAUCUGGGGAGGGCCGGGCCGCGGGAGCCGGGGCUGCCCUGGGGUCUGUGCGGGGCCGCGGGGCCAGGGGGUCAGGGGGCCGCCCCCCCUCAGCUGCUGGACGCAGGGCUCGGCCUUCGCCUCUCGGCUCGGGAGAGUCCUUGAGUACGGAGACCGGCUAGGAGGGUUGCAGCUGCCUCUUUUUGAAAGUUGGGUUGGGCCCCAAGAGUGACUUCCGACAGACCUUUCCACUCCCACCGUCUGUGGCCUGAGGGCCUUCCCUUCUCCUCCCGCCCACCCCUCUGGAUGUUUCGGGGAGUUAGAAGGGAGCUGGAUUGAGAGACUGUGUUAGGGGCGGGGGUAUGGAACGUAGUGGAAAGGGCAGAAAUUUGGAUCUCAGUUCGCGCCCACCCCGCAGGCGCCUCCCGCGAGCCGGGCCCUCUGUGAGUGAGACAAGCUCCCCUUCCUUUACGCGCCUCACCUGGCGCGUGGGGAGAGGUCGGCAGCCCUCCGCCGCAGAACCUCCGGAAGGGAUGUCCUCUGCCCUGCGCCUCUGGCCGGGGCUGUGGUCCCUCCAGGCCGUCGAGGGGAUGCUGAGGCCGGUCCCCAGAGGAGCAUGACUUGGCUGGUCCGGAGGAGCUCUGAGGGCAUGGGCAAUCUUGGCUCGCUGCAACCUCAGCUUCCAGAGUUCAAGCGAGUCUCCUGCUUCAGCCUCAUGAGUAGCUGGGACUACAGAUGCGUGCCACUACGUCCGUCUGAUGACAGAGCGGGAUGCCACCAGCUUGUCCAAAGGGAAGUUCCAGGAGCUCCUGGUGGGCAUCGUUGUGGAGAAUGACGCUGGCCGCGGCGAGAUCAACGAGUUGAAGCAGGUGGAAGGGGAGGCUUCGUGCAGCAGCCGCAAAGGAAAGCUGAUUUUCUUCUAUGAGUGGAACAUCAAACUGGGCUGGAAAGGCAUCGUUAAAGAAUCUGGAGUGAAGCACAAGGGAUUGAUUGAAAUACCCAAUCUUUCUGAGGAAAAUGAAGUAGAUGACACUGAGAAUUUACAACGGGAAUGAUUUUACCAACGAAAGCUAUGGCAACCCAGGAAUUGACUGUCAAAAGAAAACUGAGUGGGAAUACCCUGCAGGUUCAGGCCUCAUCUCCAGUGGCACUGGGUGUAAGGAUUCCCACUGUGGCUCUUCACAUGAUGGAACUGUUUGACACAACUGUAGAGCAGCUGUAUAGCAUCUUCACUGUAAAGGAGUUAACAAAUAAGAAGAUCAUCAUGAAAUGGAGAUGUGGGAACUGGCCAGAAGAACACUAUGCCAUGGUUGCACUGAAUUUUGUGCCUACUCUAGGGCAAACAGAAUUACAAUUGAAGGAGUUCCUAUCUAUCUGUAAAGAAGAGAACAUGAAAUUCUGUUGGCAGAAGCAGCAUUUUGAAGAAAUAAAAGGUUCACUGCAGCUGACCCCCCUAAAUGGUUGAAUUAAAAUUUAUUAUAAGGCAUUACUUUUUGUAAGCGGAAAAAGUGUCACAUUUACCUCUUCCCUAUCUUUUGUUUAAAAGGACUGUCUUUAUUUUAUAUUGGAUGAAAUCUAUGAACAUAUAUACAAUGUAAAGCAUUGUUUGACUCUUUAUUAUAACUAGACACUGCAUUGAUUUAAAAGUAGCAAACAACCUGAAAUUAAGUAUUAACCUGACCUUCCAUCGAUAUUCCUCUGGAAAUAGGUAAGUCCUGAGUGCAGAUAGUUGAUGUUUCCCAAGCUGAAGCUUGUCCUAUAGCAAGCUUGCUUGCAGCUGUACUUUUAGUUCAAGAUGACAAAAAAUAAAUGGCAUGUUGACACUAUUCCUUUAUUUUACUUUAGGGUUUUUAAGGUGUGUAGAUCUUAGGUCGUAAAACAGUGGUAUAUUGCAUUCAAAAGCAUGUUGAGGUGAGGGCAAAUUGGCUGUGUUUUGCUCCACAUCUCCCUGCACAUCUCCCUGCUGUGGUUUUGCACUUCGGUGUGGAGAGGAUUGAGAAGUCUGUGGGGACACAUUAGUUCUGUGGACUGCUGGUAACACUUCCAGUGAAACAGCAUAUAAUGGAUAAAUGUUUCCCCCCUCUUUCACGGUUUUCUCACUACUUUCACCUGAGAAGACUGAAGCAACGUAUGUAAACAAAUGAAAAGUCAUCACAAUCAGUUUAAUUAAGUGCACAGAAUAGCAAUCAAUCAAUCAGUCAUGUCAAUAAAAAUAAAACAAUUAUUUUUA
ensembl:lncRNA AHSA2P activator of HSP90 ATPase homolog 2, pseudogene